rnacentral:rRNA from 1 species
AUUGAACGCUGGCGGCAGGCCUAACACAUGCAAGUCGAACGAGUGGCGGACGGGUAAGUAAUGUCUGGGAAACUGCCUGAUGGAGGGGGAUAACUACUGGAACCCGUAGCUAAUACCGCAUACCAUCGGAUGUGCCCAGAUGGGAUGAGCUAGUCGGUGGGGUAAAGGCUCACGUAGGCGACGAGCCCUAGCUGUUCUGAGAGGAUGACCAGCCACACUGGAACUGAGACACGGUCCAGACUCCUACGGGAGGCAGCAGUGGGGAAUAUUGGACAAUGGGCGCAAGCCUGAUGCAGCCAUGCCGCGUGUAUGAAGAAGGCCUUCGGGUUGUAAAUUACUUUCAGCAGGGAGGCGUUACCCGCAGAAGAAGCACCGGCUAACUCCGUGCCAGCAGCCGCGGUAAUUC